rnacentral:rRNA from 1 species
GACGAACGCUGGCGGCGUGCCUAAUACAUGCAAGUAGAACGCUGAAGUAGAGGAGCUUGCUCUUCUUGGAUGAGUUGCGAACGGGUGAGUAACGCGUAGGUAACCUGCCUUGUAGCGGGGGAUAACUAUUGGAAACGAUAGCUAAUACCGCAUAACAAUGAAUGACACAUGUCAUUUAUUUGAAAGGGGCAAUUGCUCCACUACAAGAUGGACCUGCGUUGUAUUAGCUAGUAGGUGAGGUAACGGCUCACCUAGGCGACGAUACAUAGCCGACCUGAGAGGGUGAUCGGCCACACUGGGACUGAGACACGGCCCAGACUCCUACGGGAGGCAGCAGUAGGGAAUCUUCGGCAAUGGGGGCAACCCUGACCGAGCAACGCCGCGUGAGUGAAGAAGGUUUUCGGAUCGUAAAGCUCUGUUGUAAGUCAAGAACGAGUGUGAGAGUGGAAAGUUCACACUGUGACGGUAGCUUACCAGAAAGGGACGGCUAACUACGUGCCAGCAGCCGCGGUAAUACGUAGGUCCCGAGCGUUGUCCGGAUUUAUUGGGCGUAAAGCGAGCGCAGGCGGUUUGAUAAGUCUGAAGUUAAAGGCUGUGGCUCAACCAUAGUUCGCUUUGGAAACUGUCAAACUUGAGUGCAGAAGGGGAGAGUGGAAUUCCAUGUGUAGCGGUGAAAUGCGUAGAUAUAUGGAGGAACACCGGUGGCGAAAGCGGCUCUCUGGUCUGUAACUGACGCUGAGGCUCGAAAGCGUGGGGAGCGAACAGGAUUAGAUACCCUGGUAGUCCACGCCGUAAACGAUGAGUGCUAGGUGUUGGAUCCUUUCCGGGAUUCAGUGCCGCAGCUAACGCAUUAAGCACUCCGCCUGGGGAGUACGACCGCAAGGUUGA